rnacentral:rRNA from 1 species
UAUGUGAUCGUCUCUCGCAUAUCAAUAAGCGGAGGAAAAGAAACUAACAAGGAUUCCCCUAGUAACGGCGAGUGAAGCGGGAAGAGCUCAAAUUUGAAAUCUUAAAGGGUUUCCCUUUACGAAUUGUAGUUUAAAGAAGUGUUUUCUGUUGAGGUUUUGGUAAAAGUUCUUUGGAAUAGGACAUCAUAGAGGGUGAGAAUCCCGUAUUUGACCUUUACUUUCAACUUUGUGAUACACUUUCAAAGAGUCGGAUUGUUUGGGAAUGCAGUCCAAAAUGGGUGGUAAAUUUCAUCUAAAGCUAAAUAUUGGCGAGAGACCGAUAGCGAACAAGUACCGUGAGGGAAAGAUGAAAAGAACUUUGAAAAGAGAGUUAAACAGUACGUGAAAUUGUCAAAAGGGAGGCGUUUGACACCAGUGUUGUUUUUCUGAAAAUCAAUUAAAGAACUGUUUAUGCUAAGCUGUUUAGACUUUAUCAGCUAACUGUUUAGUUUUGAGCUUUUCUUUAAUGCACUUUUCAGUUAACAAGUCAACAUCAAUUUCUUUUGCUGUAAAAAAGCUUGAGGAAGGUGGGCUUGAGAUUCGUCUUAAGUGUUUAUAGCCUCUUGCCUAUGCAGUCGGAGAGAUUGAGGUCUGCAGCGUAGAUCCUUCGGGGCUAAAUGCAGUUUGUGCUAAGUUAUAGCAUUUUAUAGACAACUUGUUGACUAUGAUUUGUCUUGUAGCUUACUCGCUUAUGUUAUUUUACCUACGCUUAGGAUGUUGAGUAGCGACAUACGCAC